rnacentral:rRNA from 1 species
AUACGUAGGGGGCAAGCGUUGUCCGGAAUGAUUGGGCGUAAAGGGCGCGUAGGCGGCCCGGUAAGUCUGGAGUGAAAGUCCUGUUUUUAAGAUGGGAAUUGCUUUGGAUACUGUCGGGCUUGAGUGCAGGGGAGGUAAGUGGAAUUCCCAGUGUAGCGGUGAAAUGCGUAGAGAUUGGGAGGAACACCAGUGGCGAAGGCGACUUACUGGACUGUAACUGACGCUGAGGCGCGAAAGUGUGGGGAGCAAACAGGAUUAGAUACCCUGGUAGUCCACACUGUAAACGAUGAAUGCUAGGUGUAGGGGGUAUCGACCCCUUCUGUGCCGCAGUCAACACAAUAAGCAUUCCGCCUGGGGAGUACGGCCGCAAGGUUGAAACUCAAAGGAAUUGACGGGU